rnacentral:rRNA from 1 species
UACACAGGUGCUGCAUGGUUGUCGGUCAGCUCGUGUCGUGAGAUGUACGGUUAAGUCCGUGAACGAGCGCAACCCCUGCCCUUAGUUGCUAAUAUGCGAAAGCAUAUGCACUCUAAGGGGACCGCAGCGGAAAGCUGGAGGAAGGUGGGAGUGACGUCAAAUCCUCAUGGCCUUUAUGUCCAGGGCUACACACAUGCGACAAUGGUCGAGACAACGCGUUGCAAACCAGUAAUGGUAAGCUAAUCGCAUAAAAUCGACCUCAGUACGGAUUGAGGGUUGCAAUUCACCCUCAUGAAGCUGGAGUUGCUAGUAACCGCAGGUCAGCUAUACUGCGAUGAAUACGUUCCCGGGGCUU